AUUAAACGCUGGCGGCAUGCCUUACACAUGCAAGUCGAACGGCAGCACGGGGGCAACCCUGGUGGCGAGUGGCGGACGGGUGAGUAAAGCAUCGGAACGUAUCCUGGAGUGGGGGGAUAACGUAGCGAAAGUUACGCUAAUACCGCAUAUUCUGUGAGCAGGAAAGCAGGGGAUCGCAAGACCUUGCGCUCUGGGAGCGGCCGAUGUCGGAUUAGCUAGUUGGUGGGGUAAAGGCCUACCAAGGCGACGAUCCGUAGCGGGUCUGAGAGGAUGAUCCGCCACACUGGGACUGAGACACGGCCCAGACUCCUACGGGAGGCAGCAGUGGGGAAUUUUGGGACAAUGGGCGGAAGCCUGAUCCAGCCAUGCCGCGUGAGUGAAGAAGGCCUCGG
rnacentral:rRNA from 1 species